rnacentral:lncRNA from 1 species
CGGAGCUCAAACUCAUGACCUUGUGCUUGGGAGGCAGGCGCAGUGCCACUGAGCUAAAUCCCCGGCCCUAAAAAAAAAUUGUUUUAAGUAAGAACUUUUUAACACAGAAAAAUAAUUCAUAAGUAUACAGCUUGAUGAUCAGCUUGGUGAUUUACCUCAAAUUAAUAUCCCAUACUCACCACAUGAGUCAAGAACAGAACCUUCCCCACACCCCAGAAACUACAGUCCUGCUCCCUUCCAAAUAUAUUACCCCUCUUCCUCAGAGGGUGCUGACUGCUCACCAUUGUGACAAAAGUCCUACACUCACAGACGCCCCAUCCAAAGACUGAAGGCCUGGCCAGGGAUUUAGCUCAGUGGUUCCACUGUCUGCCUUGCAAGCACAAGGACCCGAGUUCGAUCCCCGGUACCAAAGACUGAGGACCUGAGCACUGUAUCAGAGGACCCGCCAGCCCGAGCCCCGAUGCAGUAUGGUCCCUCUGUGUAUUCCAGGCUGGACUUAAACUCACUAUGUAGCCCAGGCUGUCCUCGUACUCAUGGUGAUCCUCCUGCCUCAGCCUCCCAAGUGCUGAGAUUACAAGUCUGCACCACCACACCUACCUGUUUCUAAAAUAGGGAUAACAGGGAGGCUGAGACUGAAGUUAUGUAGUGAGUUUGAGGCCAGCUUAGGGUACAUAGAAAGACCCUAUGUUAAAAAAAUCAAAGCCAAACCAAACAAAGCCAAAUAAACAAACAACAAAAACAGAAACAAAACUAAUCCUGUUUGGGAGGCUGAAGCUGGUUUGAGAUUGAUCGCAGGUAUGAAGCCAUCUAAAACAAUUUAGCAAGAUCCUGUAUCCAAAAAAAAAAAAAUACACAGCAUACCUCAUCCUUCAGGGCUGUUACCCUUUGUUUUGCUUUUGGUGCUGCCAGAGUUUUAGGGCAAAAGCCUUUGCUCCAGGAGUCCCAGCAGCAAGGUUCAGCCACCUGUCCCAGGAUGAGAGGUGCUAAAGGGUAGGCAAGGAGCUUUAAUCACCAGGGCCAAGCUGGGAAUCACGGACAAAGAGCUUCAAGCCCUGGGGUUUUAUAGAAAAGGGAAGCA